AUGCAUAUAUGCAUGUAUGGAAAGACAUAUAACCUGGGCCCUAUCGAACGACAGGAGUUGCUCACCGGAAUACAAAGGAUGGUGGUCACCGGUCUUGGGGAAGAACGGCGCCGGCGGCUCAGACUUGAAGCUGGUGUUGUCCAAGACGGUGUGGUAGGAGGCACGGCGUGCGUACAGAUACGUAUAACUCGGGAAAUUCUUCAGGGACGUCCGGGGCUUGCUCCUGCGAUGAUGACGACCGGCUGGAGUAGUGGCAGCGGAGAUUGGCUCGGUCGAGGUCGACGCGGUCGCUACACGGAUCCCCUGCGUGAACUACGCAUUCAGAUCGGUAGAGGAGAUCGAGGAGAAUUUAAAAGGAACAAGAAGAGGGGCCAAGGAACCUUCAGAGGCGAUGGAAUCGACCGGCGGGGUGCUCCUGCAGCGGCGAACUCCGGCGAGAUCAGAUCCGGGCGAAACGGGCACGGGAAGACAAAAUUUUGCCAAAAAUCGGCAGAGAAGAAGAUGGGGAAUUUUUAUUGA
rnacentral:rRNA from 1 species